GACGAACGCUGGCGGCGUGCUUAACACAUGCAAGUCGAGCGGUAAGGCCCUUUCGGGGUACACGAGCGGCGAACGGUGAGUAACACGUGGGUGACCUGCCCUCAGCUCUGGGAUAAGCCUGGGAAACCGGGUCUAAUACUGGAUAUGACUCCAUGACGCAUGUUGUGGGUAGGAAGCCUUGUGCGGCUGAGGAUGGGCCCGCGGCCUAUCAGCUUGUUGGUGGGGUGANGGGCCUACCAAGGCGACGACGGGUAGCCGGCCUGAGAGGCGACCGGCCACACU
rnacentral:rRNA from 1 species